rnacentral:lncRNA from 1 species
UAGUCGGGAGAGUUGCUGAGCUAGCGAGGGGCGGUAGAGGGAGGAGCGUUCUGCCCGAGGGUCAAAUUACACAGUGGCGGCUUGGGGUGGGAACGGUGAGCCCCGGAGUCGGAAGAGCAGGCCCAACAGCCUGGUCGCUGAAGCUGAGUGAGCGGCCAUCGCAUCCCCUCAGCCACUCCAGGAUGGGCAGCAGCAGUGGACUGAGCUUCCCAGGAGAGGCUCCUGGCCCGGAACCUGCGGGGUUGUGGCCGUACACUUCGCCAGCUUCCAGCGCAUGAAGUGGCCCAAAGCAGGCGGCAGACUUGGUGUCCCCCGCAAAAGUGACAACUUCAUCUAGAGGCUGUUGCACAGAAACUCUCCAACCAGGAGGAAGAGACCAGCAGCUGCCCUCUCGGUUCCCAGAACGUGCAUUAGAAAUUUCCAGUCCUAAGGGGGCUGCAGCGUUACCCAUCUUCCAACUGAUGACCAAAAAGUGGGCUUGAGAAAACAUUUUACCGUUUAAGAAACUGAACAGGAGGGGGUGCCUUCGUUUUGGAUGCUAUUUUUGAGAAGCUGGUCAAAGAAGGGGAAAAUAGAACUGGUGCUGAAGCCCCCGCCAGGUGGAAGGAUCAAUUGCAUGCUGUCCAGGAGCAGGUAGACCCCAGAUUGGUUGGAACCAGAAGGUUGAUGACACUGACUCCCAAUUACCACCAACCAGUCCGCAGAAUAUCCCCAAGCUGACCAAGCCCUGCUCCUUGAACCCUAUUAGGAAACAAAAUGAAUAAAUUGCCGUGGCAGUCCUUGGAUGAUUUUAACUCGUCAGAUGCCAAUGCCCGAGGUCUUUUAUUGUGCCAAGGCUGCUUUUGCAGUAUUUCAAUGCUCACGGAUCCUGUGAAUCACUUCUUCCUACACUGAUUCAUCCUUCUGAUCGUCUCUUCAUUUAUUCAUUUCUUAGGGGCCCUUCCCCCUGGAGACAGAGGCCUAGUUGCUUUUAAAAAUAUCCCCCUCACUACCACCAAAAAUAGAAAGUCUGGGGAGUGCUGUUGUGACUAAGCGGUCCCACCUUGUCCCUGCAGCAUCUCAAGUCGCUGCUGUGUGGCAGGUUUGAUCUCUGCACCUGGGAACUUCUACAAGACAAGGACAUGGUCAGGAUAUACACACACAGAUUAUCGAUACCUAUUUUGUUUCAGAUGAUAUGAUGGUGUCUGAAGAUACAGACUCUUGCCUUUCCAGAGGCCAUAGGCAGUAACUUUUGACCUUUUAAUGUCCCAUCCCUAUAAUUUUUAACAAAUUGAGCAUCUACCCAUAUAAUAUUAUUUAUAUAUGUACAUAUAUUCUUUUAUAAUUAAUAUAUGAAAUGUUAGUUCAUUUUAUUUUUUGGAUGAAUGCAUAAAUGGAGGUUAAGGUAUUUUUUUCAUUCACUCCAGUGGACCAUCUCAAACACUUCCUGGACUGCUUCCUCAGUCUGCAACCCCCGCUACUGGUAUGCGCCUGACUCUCUCGCUUCUUUCUUCAGAUCUCUGUCAAAUGCCAGGUUUUCAGAGAGGCCUUCCCUGGCCACUCCCUUUAAAAUACUGUCCUCAGCCAUACAAUGAGACACCAACAUCAAAUGCUUUCACUGACAUGUGGAAUCUGAAAAAAGGACAGACGGAACUUCUUUGCAGAACAGAUGCUGACUCACGGAUAUCGGAAAACUUACGGUCUCCGGAGGAGACAAUUUGGGGGGUGGGGGAUGUGUUUGGGUUGUGGGAUGGAAAUCCUAUGAAAUCAGAUUGUUGUGAUCAUUAUACAACUACAGAUGUGAUAAAUUCAUGAGUAAUAAAAAAAAUGAAAAAAAA